CCAUUUGAAAGGGACAUAAGAAUCAGUCCCGUGCCACUGCGGCAUCUGAGUUUAAUAAAAUAAC
rnacentral:ncRNA from 1 species